CAACAGGGUGGGAGCGAGCCUCAGGAAGCUUGGGGCGCCACCCUUAA
rfam:Hepatitis C virus genotype 6, complete genome